rnacentral:tRNA from 1 species
AAAUAAUAACAUUAAUAUGUCAUGUUAAAAUUGUUAGAAUAAUCUAAUACUUUUUGAUUCCA